AUCGCAGGCUGCAACCCGCCUGCGUGAAGCCGGAAUUGCUAGUAAUCGCGGAUCAGCAUGCCGCGGUGAAUACGUUCCCGGGCCUUGUACACACCGCCCGUCACACCAUGAGAGGCCCGGGGGGACCCGAAGUCGGUAGUUUAACCGCAAGGAGGACGCCGCCGAAGGUAAAACUGGUGAUUGGGGUGAAGUCGUAACAAGGUACC
rnacentral:rRNA from 1 species